rnacentral:rRNA from 1 species
CGGUAGCACAGAGAGCUUGCUCUCGGGUGACGAGUGGCGGACGGGUGAGUAAUGUCUGGGAAACUGCCUGAUGGAGGGGGAUAACUACUGGAAACGGUAGCUAAUACCGCAUAAUGUCGCAAGACCAAAGAGGGGGACCUUCGGGCCUCUUGCCAUCGGAUGUGCCCAGAUGGGAUUAGCUAGUAGGUGGGGUAAUGGCUCACCUAGGCGACGAUCCCUAGCUGGUCUGAGAGGAUGACCAGCCACACUGGAACUGAGACACGGUCCAGACUCCUACGGGAGGCAGCAGUGGGGAAUAUUGCACAAUGGGCGCAAGCCUGAUGCAGCCAUGCCGCGUGUAUGAAGAAGGCCUUCGGGUUGUAAAGUACUUUCAGCGAGGAGGAAGGCAUUGUGGUUAAUAACCGCAGUGAUUGACGUUACUCGCAGAAGAAGCACCGGCUAACUCCGUGCCAGCAGCCGCGGUAAUACGGAGGGUGCAAGCGUUAAUCGGAAUUACUGGGCGUAAAGCGCACGCAGGCGGUCUGUUAAGUCAGAUGUGAAAUCCCCGGGCUCAACCUGGGAACUGCAUUUGAAACUGGCAGGCUUGAGUCUUGUAGAGGGGGGUAGAAUUCCAGGUGUAGCGGUGAAAUGCGUAGAGAUCUGGAGGAAUACCGGUGGCGAAGGCGGCCCCCUGGACAAAGACUGACG